AUACGGAGGGUGCAAGCGUUAAUCGGAAUUACUGGGCGUAAAGCGUGCGUAGGUGGUUUGUUAAGUCAGAUGUGAAAGCCCCGGGCUCAACCUGGGAACUGCAUUUGAAACUGGCAUACUAGAGUAUAGGAGAGGAAAGUGGAAUUUCAGGUGUAGCGGUGAAAUGCGUAGAUAUCUGAAGGAACAUCAAUGGCGAAGGCAGCUUUCUGGACUAAUACUGACACUGAGGUACGAAAGCGUGGGUAGCAAACAGGAUUAGAAACCCCGGUAGUCC
rnacentral:rRNA from 1 species